GAUUCUGUCAUUGAGUUUUGAUUGGGUUCACUCUGCUUCACUGCAAAUUUUCAUUCUGGGAAGCAGGAUCUGCUAUCUUGUACUUUAGGAGUCACUGAGACUUGAAGCAAAUUGAGCUGUCCAGAAGAUCCUGGUCACAGAUUUUGGUGUGGAUGUGGUAAAAAGGGAGCACUUUUACAUUGCUGGUGGGAAGGUAAAUUAGUACAACCAUAAUGGAAAACUGUAUAGAGAUUCUUUAAAGAACUAGAAGUAGAACCACCAUUUGACCCAGCAAUCCCACUACUGAAUAUAUACCCAGAGGAAAACAAGUUAUUAUAUGAGAAAGAUAAGCACACGCAUGUUUCUAACAGCACAAGUUGCAAUUGAAAAAAUAUGGAACCAGCCUAAUUGCCUCUCAGUGAACAAGUGGAUAAAGAAAAUGUGGUAUAUCUACACAAUGGAAUACUACUCAACCAAAAAAGAAAAAAAAAAUGACAUUUACAGCAACCUGGAUGGAGGUUGAAGACAAUUAUUCUAUGUGAAGUAACUCAUUAAUGCAAAACCAAAUAUUGUAGGUUUUCCCUUAUAAGUGGGGCCUAAGCUAUGAGGACACAAAGGCAUAAGAAUGAUAUGAUGGAUUUUGGGGAAUUGAGAGGAAGUUUGGGAGGGAAGUGAGGGAUAAAAGACUACACGCUGGGUACAAUGUACACUGCUCAAGUGACGGGUUCACCAAAAUCUUAGAAAUCACCACUAAAGAGCUUUUCCAUGUAACCAAAAGCCACCUGCUCCCAAAAGCCAUUGAAAUAAAAUUUUUUAAAAAACCA